CAGUCGCCACGGUAAUACGUAGGUGGCAAGCGUUGUCAGGAAUUAUUGGGCGUAAAGGGCUCGCAGGCGGUUUCUUAAGUCUGAUGUGAAAGCCCCCGGCUCAACCGGGGAGGGUCAUUGGAAACUGGGAAACUUGAGUGCAGAAGAGGAGAGUGGAAUUCCACGUGUAGCGGUGAAAUGCGUAGAGAUGUGGAGGAACACCAGUGGCGAAGGCGACUCUCUGGUCUGUAACUGACGCUGAGGAGCGAAAGCGUGGGGAGCGAACAGGAUUAGAUACCCCAGUAGUCCCUGUCUCUUAUAC
rnacentral:rRNA from 1 species